rnacentral:rRNA from 1 species
AUGAACGCUGGCGGCGUGCCUAAUACAUGCAAGUCGCGCGAACGGACGAGAAGCUUGCUUUUCUGAUGUUAGCGGCGGACGGGUGAGUAACACGUGGAUAACCUACCUAUAAGACUGGGAUAACUUCGGGAAACCGGAGCUAAUACCGGAUAAUAUUUUGAACCGCAUGGUUCAAAAGUGAAAGACGGUCUUGCUGUCACUUAUAGAUGGAUCCGCGCUGCAUUAGCUAGUUGGUAAGGUAACGGCUUACCAAGGCAACGAUGCAUGGCCGACCUGAGAGGGGGAUCGGCCACACUGGAACUGAGACACGGUCCAGACUCCUACGGGAGGCAGCAGUAGGGAAUCUUCCGCAAUGGGCGAAAGCCUGACGUAGCAACGCCGCGUGAGUGAUGAAGGUCUUCGGAUCGUAAAACUCUGUUAUUAGGGAAGAACAUAUGUGUAAGUAACUGUGCACAUUUUGACGGUACCUAAUCAGAAAGCCACGGCUAACUACGUG